UACGGAGGGUGCAAGCGUUAUCCGGAUUUACUGGGUUUAAAGGGUGUGUAGGCGGGUCUUUAAGUCAGGGGUGAAAUCUCCGAGCUUAACUUGGAAACUGCCAUUGAUACUAUUGAUCUUGAAUUCUGUUGAGGUGGGCGGAAUAUGUCAUGUAGCGGUGAAAUGCAUAGAUAUGACAUAGAACACCAAUUGCGAAGGCAGCUCACUAAGCAGAUAUUGACGCUGAGGCACGAAAGCGUGGGGAUCAAACAGG
rnacentral:rRNA from 1 species